UACGGGGGGGGGCACGCGUUGUUCGGACUUACUGGGCGUAAAGGGCGCGUAGGCGGCCUUCUAAGUCGGACGUGAAAUCCCUCGGCUUAACCGAGGAACUGCGUCCGAUACUGAAAGGCUUGAAUCCGGGAGAGGGAUGUGGAAUUCCAGGUGUAGCGGUGAAAUGCGUAGAUAUCUGGAGGAACACCGGUGGCGAAGGCGGCAUCCUGGACCGGUAUUGACGCUGAGGCGCGAAAGCUAGGGGAGCAAACAGG
rnacentral:rRNA from 1 species